rnacentral:lncRNA from 1 species
AACUCUGAUACAGCAGUACUCGGAUACACUGAACUCUGAUACAGCAGUACUCUGAUACACUGAACUCUGAUACAGUUCUUCAGUACAGAGCCAUCUCUAGCCUCUCUGACUUGGUUGUCUGUGUCUGCAGGACCUCAGAUUGUACCUGCCCCCCAGCCUUGAGCAGCCCACCUAGAGGGUGGAGUCUUCUGACCUUGGUGGAGUCUAUUGUAUGCCGCAUCUGCAGCUUCCGUGGCCUCAGGAUAUGCAAGUUUAGAACCACCAGUCUAGAAGCUCUUAAAAAU